AUAAAAAUGUUUGUAGUAUAAUAUUAAAAACACUUCUUAAAUUACCUAUUGCACAUGGUUCUAUGUAAUUUUUGAUUAUCUUUUGGCUAAAUGUCCUUUUCAAAUACAUAAAGCCAAUAACAAGUAACGCCAAAAUCAAGAUUAUAAUUCAUCAUAUGACAAGACCUUCAAAUCAAGAUAUAAUUCUUGUGAAAUCACUGACGAUCUAACCUUGCAUUCGUGAGUUCAAAUUACUAUGUGAAGUCAUAAAAGAUUAAUCAUAAUCAUAUAUCUUUUUAAAAUUUAACGGCGCUUUGUUUUUUGUCACGAUUUAUUUCAUCAUCACAGGUCUAGAUCAAAGACAGGUCUGCAUUGUUAUUAAAUAUUCGUUCUAAAAUAAGACUUAAAAAUAAUCAAAUCACAAUUUUUAAGUCCCUCACUAUAAUAUAA
rnacentral:lncRNA from 1 species